rnacentral:rRNA from 1 species
GCUUCGGCUACCACUUACAGAUGGACCCGCGGCGCAUUAGCUAGUUGGUGAGGUAACGGCUCACCAAGGCGACGAUGCGUAGCCGACCUGAGAGGGUGAUCGGCCACACUGGGACUGAGACACGGCCCAGACUCCUACGGGAGGCAGCAGUAGGGAAUCUUCCGCAAUGGACGAAAGUCUGACGGAGCAACGCCGCGUGAGUGAUGAAGGUUUUCGGAUCGUAAAGCUCUGUUGUUAGGGAAGAACAAGUGCCGUUCAAAUAGGGCGGCACCUUGACGGUACCUAACCAGAAAGCCACGGCUAACUACGUGCCAGCAGCCGCGGUAAUACGUAGGUGGCAAGCGUUGUCCGGAAUUAUUGGGCGUAAAGGGCUCGCAGGCGGUUUCUUAAGUCUGAUGUGAAAGCCCCCGGCUCAACCGGGGAGGGUCAUUGGAAACUGGGGAACUUGAGUGCAGAAGAGGAGAGUGGAAUUCCACGUGUAGCGGUGAAAUGCGUAGAGAUGUGGAGGAACACCAGUGGCGAAGGCGACUCUCUGGUCUGUAACUGACGCUGAGGAGCGAAAGCGUGGGGAGCGAACAGGAUUAGAUACCCUGGUAGUCCACGCCGUAAACGAUGAGUGCUAAGUGUUAGGGGGUUUCCGCCCCUUAGUGCUGCAGCUAACGCAUUAAGCACUCCGCCUGGGGAGUACGGUCGCAAGACUGAAACUCAAAGGAAUUGACGGGGGCCCGCACAAGCGGUGGAGCAUGUGGUUUAAUUCGAAGCAACGCGAAGAACCUUACCAGGUCUUGACAUCCUCUGACAAUCCUAGAGAUAGGACGUCCCCUUCGGGGGCAGAGUGACAGGUGGUGCAUGGUUGUCGUCAGCUCGUGUCGUGAGAUGUUGGGUUAAGUCCCGCAACGAGCGCAACCCUUGAUCUUAGUUGCCAGCAUUCAGUUGGGCACUCUAAGGUGACUGCCGGUGACAAACCGGAGGAAGGUGGGGAUGACGUCAAAUCAUCAUGCCCCUUAUGACCUGGGCUACACACGUGCUACAAUGGACAGAACAAAGGGCAGCGAAACCGCGAGGUUAAGCCAAUCCCACAAAUCUGUUCUCAGUUCGGA